rnacentral:tRNA from 1 species
GCUUUUAAAGGAUAACAGCCCAUCCGUUGGUCUUAGGA